rnacentral:lncRNA from 1 species
UGUGCUAGCAGGCAGAGGAUAACUGUACAUGCAACUGAACAGGCUCACUUCACUGAUAUAAACAAGGUCAAGCACACCAAUGCUCCAAAUCGUACUGUAGAUAUUCACAAGUUGAUGAUCCCUAUUUCUAGCGAGGCACCACUAGAAACACACAGACCACAGGUUCAGGACUGGAUGAAGCGCUGGAGAUCAGAAGGCGCGGGAGAGGAUGAAGCGCUGGAGAUCAGAAGGCGCUGUACUCGUCCUCGGAGUUCAUCUGGAGGAACCACACGAUGGCCAGCCCGAAGACGGCGAAGGAGGACAGCUCCAUCGUCA